AUUUGCCCUUAGCAACGGUGUAGCUUUGGGCACAUGAUCUAGCCACCUGGUGCCUCAGUUUCCUCAUCUGGACAACAGGUAUAACAACACCUAUUUCAUGGGAUUGAACAUAAUGCUGUGAAUGUAAAUGGCUUUGUUAGCAAAGAGUCCGAUGUUUGAUUGAAAGCUCCAAGACAGCAGAGCUCAGAGCUCAUGACAACGUCAUGGGUCAGUGUAUUCCCAGUGCCCAACACAUUGCUGACACAUCGUGAAUCGAAUCUGACAAAGCAUGGGGUUGCAGUGAGCCAAGCUCGUGCCACUGCACUCCAGCCUGGCAACAGAGCGAGACUCUGUCUCAAAAAAAAGAAAAAAAUACAAAAGUAACCAAUUAGACUUUGAUGUAGGAGUGACCUGAUAGGAGGUAAUUGAAUCAUGGGGGUGGGUUUUUCCAAUGCUCUUCUCGUGAUAGCGAAUAAGUCUCACGAGAUCCGAUGGCUUUAUAAAGGGAAGUUCCCCUGCACACACUCUCUUGCCUGCCUCCAUGUACGACAUGGCUUUGCUCCUCCUUCACCUUCCACCAUGAUUGUAAGCUCUCUCCAGCCACGUGGAACUGUGAGUCCAUUAAACCUCUUUUUCUUCAUAAAUCAUCCAGUCUUGGAUAUUUCUUCAUAGCAGUACGAAAAUGGGCUAAUACAAGUAGGCUGAGAAGGAGGAAGAGGAGGCAUUGGUCUUGCUUGUCUCAGGGGUGAUGGAGGCAGGAGAAAAUCCAUGUCUAAGAUAAAAGGGAAUCACAUCAGACUAACAAUAGACUUUUCAGUAAAAUCUUUACAGGCUAGAAGAGAAUGAGAUGGUAUUUUCAAAGUGCUGGGGAAAAAAUAAAAACACCUAUUAGUCAAGAAUUUUACAUCCUGCCAGAAUAAGGCCAACAUGGCGAAACCCAGUCUCUACUAAAAAUACAAAAAAAAUUAGCUAGGUGUGGUGACACACAUCUGUAAUCCCAGCUACGUGGAAGGCUGAGGCAAGAGAAUUGCUUAUACCCAGGAGGCAGAGUUUGCAGUGAGCCAAGAUCACACCACUGCACUCCAGCCUAGGUAACAGAGUGAGACUCCAUCUCAAAAAAAAAAAAAAAAAACCUCAUCAUGGUGGAUUAUCUUUUUGAUAUAUUGAUGAAUUCAGUUAGCUAGUAUUUUGUUGAGGAUUUUUGCAUGAAUGUUUAUCAGGAAUAUUGUUCUGUAGUUUUCUUUUUCUGAUAUAUCUUUUCCUGGUUUUGGUGUUAGGGUGAUACUGGCUUCAUAGAAUGAUUUCGGGAGAAUUCUUUCUUUACCUUUUGGAAUAGUUUCAGUAGGAUUGGUACCAAUUCUUCUUUGAAUGCCUAAUAGAAUGCAGCUGUUAAUCCAUCUGGUUCUGGAUUUUUUUUGUUGGAAAUUUUUAAAUUAAUGAUUUAAUCUCUCUGCUUGUUAUUGAUUGGUCUGUUCGGGGUUUCUAUUUUUUCCUGAUUUAAUCUAGGAGAGUGGUAUAUUUUCAGGAAUUUAUCCAUCUCCUCUAGAUUUUCUAGUUUGAAUGUGUGUAUGUGUUCAUAGUAGUCUUGAAUGAUCCUCUGUAUUUCUGUGGUACCAGUUGUAAUAUCUCCCAUUUCAUUUCUAUUUGAAGUUAUUUCAAUAUUCUCUCUUCUUUUCUUGGUUAAUCUCACUAACAGUCUAUCAAUUUUGUUUAUUGUUUCAAAGAACCAGCUUUUUAUUUCAUUUAUCUUUUGUAUUUUGUUUGUUUGUUUCAAUUUCAUUUAGUUCUGCUCUGACCUUUGUUAUUUCUUUUCUUCUGCUGUGUUUGGGUUCAGUUUUCUCCUGUUUCUCUAGUUCCUUGAGGUGCAACCUUAGAUUGUUUAUUUGUGCCUUUCAGACUUCUUGAUGUAGGCAUUCAAUGCUAUGAACCUUUCUCUUAGAACUGCUUUUGCUGUAUCCCAGAGGUUUUGAUAAGUUGUGUCACUACUAUUACUAAUUUCAAAUAAUUUUUUAAUUUCCACAUUGAAUUCAUUG
rnacentral:lncRNA from 10 species